GUUUCCAUCCUUUAGGAAGACCCUGGAACGUGCCAGUUGAUUCUGACAAUUUCUCAUGAACAGAAACACCUAGGAAGGGAGAACUGGUGAGUCUUUUCAAGAGGAGGAAGUCCCUCAAAAGGGGCUGUGUUUCGCAAACGGCGCCCCAAAAGGGCUGAAAUACUUCGAUCUGGAGGAAAAAGACUCAGGCACUGAGGGAAGGGGAGGGUGCACAUCUGGAGUAAUUUCAAGGCUUUUUCCGUGUUAUCUGAGGUGGCAACAAGUAAAGAUUUGUUCGUUUUAUUAUUUUUUUAAUUUUUAAAGAUUUUCUUUUCCCUCCUUUUCCCCCUCCCGGCCACUCCGGUUUGUGUUUGCCACAAGACUCAUAAUUCCUUUAGAAAGUGGAGUCGAAUUCAUAAAAGUGAUGGGGGGAGAGCGCGGAGAGGGAAGGCUGGGAGCCCCAGGGAGUCUUCACUACCUACACUGCCGCUCAGCUCCCGGCGCGAGUGGAGGUCGGGGUGGGGAGACGCGACUCCUGCCCGGGAUGGCUGACACUCUGCGAGCCCCGGCGGCCCGCGGCCGGGCCGGGUGACUAGGCGGAGGGCGCGGAGGGUCCGCGGCGGGCGGGUGGCGCUGCAGCAGCCUGGGCACGGCUGCCGCCGCCCGCGGGCGAGAGUGUGCACGGGUGUGGAAGGCCGGAGUGCGGGCCGUGAGGGGUGUGCGCGCUUGAGCCGGAGCGGGGCUCGCCCCUCGUCGGCUCCCGCCGCCCAGCCGGUGAUCGCUCUCCGGCCGUCCCCGGCACCCUCGGCCCCCCACGGCGGUUGGUCCGGGCGGGGGAAGGAGAAAGUGAGACUCGGUUUCAUCACCAAUCCAUCGCCAGAAGGGGAGGAAAUUGGAAUCCAGCAGCGGCGAGCAGCAGCUGGGCGGUCACAUCUGGAAAUGGAAAGCCGACCUCCCCCUCCUCCUCCACCUCCUCCUCCUCCUCCUCCUCCUCCUCUCACCCAGGAUCACUUCCGAAACCACUUGGCCUUCAGCCCCUGCCUCGGCCAGAGGUUUCAUUUUUAACUGAAUAUUUACGAAAGCUGAAAGCGUGCGAGGGGGGUGGGGUGGAAAUAGCGGCUGCUUCUUUUCCAAGGAUUUAUUUAAUGGGGAUGUGUUCAAGGCAAGACCGAAUUCAGAAGGAUAUCGACGUCGUGAUCCAGAAGUCCAGAGCUGAGGACUGCCUGUUUGCAGAUUUCAGAUACUCAGACUCCACCUUUACUUUUACCUAUGUUGGCGGCCCCAGAAGGGCCCGCCUGGCAGGACGACUGAGCAAGUUCUUGGAAAACCAGAGAUAUUAGAGCGGUGAAUCGCGCUGGUCACGUUGGACACCUGCGCGUUAGGAGAUUCUGGAGCCAGAGGGAGAGACCCCAGAAACGCCCCGGUCGGCGACCCAGCCCGAGACGCCUGGGGUCCCAAGGGAAGCUGAACGCCCGCAGAAUGGGGAAAUGGAGAGAGAACCUGAAAGAGCCCCAAACUCGAGGACCUAUUGCUCCCCAAGAAUAACAUCUUCCAGAACUAGACAGAAAACUAGGCGUCUGGGAACCCUGAAAUCCUUGGAGGAGUAGAUCAUCAUGACCCUCUGUGUUCCUUUUGGCAAAUGACUUGCUUCCAUUGUUUGUUUGUUCAAUUGUCUGUUUGUUAAAUAAAUAAAACC
rnacentral:lncRNA from 1 species